UUUCAAGGAAUGAAGUGGUGAUUUACGUUAUAACAAACCGUCCAAAUUCAGUACCACUAUACUAUGGUAGACCCGCACACACCAGAUCACCUCUUAGUUGGUUUUUUGAGUGUUUUAUGCUUACAGCGCUAUUUUUGUUUUGCACCUCCCUUCAAAAUCCGAUAAACCACCACCUCUCUCUCUCACCGGAGAUAUUCAAACUUUUUCACCGCCUCCCUCUCCGGUCACCAACCGAAGCAACACAACUUCAAUCAUCAACAAAUCCCUAACGAACCAAACGUUUCAUCUUCAACUCAUCUUUUCAACCUCCACUGCGUUCUCAACCAAGAUCUGAGGGGCAGGGGCUGUAAGUGAGGAUGAAUUUGCAACCUGGGCAGUCUAAAUCCUCUAAUGGAUAUGGCCGUCGUAAAUCUGACAGAGAAGGUGCAGCUGCGUUAGAGAAUAAGAUGCCAUCUGAAAAAUUAAAUGCCAACAGAUUUGCAAGUACAGUUGUGAUUACUGACAUUAAAGGUGGUAGUUAUGAAAGUCCUUCACAUGACCGACUAGUAUAUCUAACAACAUGCCUAAUUGGGCAGCAUGUGGAGGUCCAGGUGAAAAAUGGGUCUAUAUACUCUGGAAUAUUUCAUGCAACAAAUACAGACAAAGAUUUUGGUAUGUUCUUCUUCUAUUAGUAGUUUUGGUGAUUCUGAAAGCUUCUUAUUUCGGUUAGACCGUUUCUUUCCUUAGCUUUUAUUUUACGCAAUAGGAUAGCCUCUUCAUCUCCUCCCCUUCUUUAAUUUUCAAAAUCUUCUCCCUUUUUACAAAACCUUCUUAUGUUUGCAAACCUUUUCCAAACCUUUUUUUUUAAAAUAUCUUUUGCCCUUAGUGGCUUUUUCUUCAAAAGUUUAGACACUGUUAAUUGUCGGAACGAGUGGUUAUACCCCACAAUUUUGAAAUUGAUUGAUAUAAUGAGAUCUUUUCCGCGUGAGAGAGCAAGUGGCAUACUCGUCGAUUUUAUCCGAGUUGGAGCCCUUCUUUCAUUUGCGAAACAAAGAACUUAUUUGUUCUCAUGCUCAAGAUUAAUAGCUGUGUAUUUCUCUCCAACGACGAUAAAGUGUUUAUUCGUUUUAAACUGUUUUCCCUUUAAAGCGGAACUACAUUAGCUCUGACUUCUCCAUUGCACCGAGGAGGUAUGUAGGCACAAGGCUUAAUGCCUUGCCGAGCUUAUUUUAAAAAUAAAACAAACCCUUUUUUUACCACACACGACACAAAUUUUCAAAAAGGUUCCUGUGGAGUACCAUAGAUAUGAGGGGUGCUUUAAACCUUCCCCUUGUAUAAUCAACACCCGAACCUGAGUUCUCUUUCUUGUUUUAAAAACAAAACUUUGGGUUUUACGUUCUUUUCCCUUUUCCUUUGAAAAAAUAAAGCGUGGUGGCGAUUUCAAACGAAAUAUUGAGUCGAGUCAAUCCUAUGGCUUCGAUCUCAGAUUUUCCCCGCUACACUAGUGAACGGUGGGAUUAAUCCCUCUUAGAUUAGUCGGUCGCAAGGUCGGAUAUCAAGAUUUACAAAGAAAUAAAAUAAAUAAACAAACUAACAUGAUGAGAGUGUUCCUAUAUAAUGUAACUACUAUUUAAUUUGGAAAAAAUAAUAAAAUAAUAUGUCAACCAACAUGAAAGUUGUGCAUGCCUAUUAUAAUACCUAAGUACCAUGUGAUGUUUAUUUUACAUGAAAAAAGUCACAUUUCUUUGGAUAAUAAAGGUACCAUGUGAUGUUUAUUUUACAUUGAAAAAAAGUCAUUAACUUUUUCGAUAAAUUGUAAACUACAACUCAUGAGGAGUACUAUGUUCCCACCUGAUUAUUGUGAAAGGAUUUAUAAUUAAUUUUAGACGCAAAUUAAAUACCAAUAAAAUGGCAUUUUCCUUUUUAAAUGUUUAGCCUCUAGUAUUUAUGUGGAGUGAAAUUUCCGUCAAAACUAGUAACAAAUCCGUGCAUACGCACGAGUUCUGUUCGGUUACGUAAAUUUGGAUACAUCAUUUACUUUAAUUAAAAAUAUUAAAAAAAAAUUAGAUAAAUAAUUGAUUAUAUUGUAUAUAAAAAUAUUUAGAUCAAUAAUAUAUUUUUUCCCGUAUAUUAUUUUUGAAUUAAAAAUAUCUAAUCAUCAAUACCAUUUCUCGUAUAUAAAAAUAUUUAGAUCAAUAAUAGAUUUUUUUUCGUAUAAAGACUUCAUUUUUGUUUAAGUAUCAUUUACAAAAACAUUAGGAUCAAUAGUAAAUUUUGUAUAUAAAAAUAUUUAGAUCAAUAAUAGUUUUUUUUUUCCGUAUACCAUUUUUGAAUAAAAAAUAUUUAGGUCAUAAAUACAAUUUUUUGUAAAUAAUAGAUUUUUUUUCCGUAUACAAAUAUUAUUUUUGUUUAGGUAUCAUUUACAAAUAUAUUUUGGAUCAUUUUUAAAUUUUCGUAUAUUAAAAUAUUUAGAUCAAUAAUAUAUUUUUUUCUGUAUACCAUUUUUGGAUAAAAAAUAUUUGAUCGUAAAUAUAAUUUCUCGUAUAUAAAAAUAUUUAGGUCAUUAAUAGAUUUUUUCCCGUAUACAGACUUCAUUUUUGUUUACGUAUCAUUUACAAAAAUCUUUGGAUCAAUCGUAAAUUUCGUAUAUAAAAAUAUUUACAUCAAUAGUAGAUUUUUUCUCGUAUAUCAUUUUUUAAUAAAAAAUAUUUGGAUCAUAAAUAACAUUUUUUGUAAAUAAUAAUAUAAAUAUUAUUUUUAUUUAGGUUUCAUUUACAAAAAUAUUUGGAUCAAUAUUAAAUUUUCGUAUAAAAAAAUAUUUAGAUCAAUAAUAGAUUUUUUUUCCGUAUACCAUUUUUUGAUCAUAAAUAUCAUUUCUUGUAUAUAAAAAUAUUUAGAUCAAUAAUAGAUUUUUUUCUCGUAUAUCAUUUUGGAAUAAAAAUAUUUGGAUCAUAAAUAUCAUUUUUCAUAAAUAAUAGAUUUUUUUCAUAUACAAAUAUUAAUUUUGUUUAGGUGUCAUUUACAAAAAUAUUUGGAUCGAUAUCAAAUUUCCGUAUGUAAAAAUAUUUAGAUCAAUAAUAAUUUUUUUGGCCUAUUCCAUUUUUGAAUAAAAAAUAUUUGGAUCAUAAAUAACAUUUUUUGUAUAUAAAAAUAUUAAGAUCAAUAAUAGAUUUUUUUUCCGUAUACAAACUUCAUUUUUGUUUAGGUAUCAUUUACAAAAAUAUUUGGAUCAAUAGUAAAUUUCGUAUAUAAAAUAUUUAGAUCAAUAGUAAAUUUCGUAAAUAAAAUAUUUAGAUCAAUAAUAGAUUUUUUCCCGUGUAUCAUUUUUGAAUAAAAAAUAUUUGGAUCAUAAAUACCAUUUUUCGUAAAUAAUAGAUUUUUUCUGUAUACAAAUAUUAUUUUUAUUUAAGUAUCAUUUACAAAAAUAUUUGGAUCAAUAUUAUCUUUUCGUACACAAAGAUAUUUAGAUCAAUAAUAGAUUUUUUGAAUAAAGUUUUCCCGUAUAUCAUUUUUGACUAAAAAAUAUUUCGAUCAUAAAUACCAUUUUUUAUAUAUAAAAAAUAUAUACCAAUAAUAAAUUUUUUUUUGUGGAAGAAAGAUGUGAGAAAGUUAAUAAAGAGAAAAAAAAUAGAGAAUGGAGAGAGAUUUGAUAAGUUUGAUAAAAUAUAAGAGUUGUAUUAUUUUAAUAAUAAAAUUAAGAAUUUAUGGUGCAAAGACCAAAAAAACACAAUUUUAAUGUGUUGGCAAAAAACCAUAUAAGGGUAUUUUUAACUUUUCCACAACCAUUAAUUUUCUUAUAUUAUAGAUAAAAAGACCUCAUGUAUUUAUAUGAUGGUGAUUACGUUGCAAUCUUGCAAUUGAAUUACGGUUUCUAUAAUGCUUCUUGAAUUCUCCAUAGUGGAAAGGCAUGCAAAGGGUUAAAAGGUAAUAAGUCAUCUACAAAGAGCUGAAAUGUGUUAAACUAUUUCAGAGAUAUCAAAAUACGAGCUAACAUAAAUUUCAAAAGUAUGAAUUUAUCAAGUGAGAUCGGCAUGAUCAGGAAGUUGACGUAAGUUAUGUUAUAUUUAAUUAUUUUUAUUGUUAGAUUUUUUUUGGUAAGUAAGAUAUAUUAAAAGAACAAAAGUUCUCAAAAUAAGAUCACAAAGAAACGGCCAAAAUCGCGGGGGAAAAUUGUCCACCAAUUAAAACAAAGAGUUUUUGUCAAACUCAUAAAAGUGACAAUUGGCGUGAGAAAUAUUUCCAAUGAACGCUCACUUCCAAACCAAUGUUUUGAUACUCCGAACAACGUCUCGGGUAUUUCACGCAAAACUCUUGAAAAUGAUUAUGUUCCUAAACAAUCACAAACUCCAAACAAUUACCAACCAAAUAUACCUGGCCUUUUCUCAUUUAACUUUCUUAUAAAUACAAAAGGAACUCCAUCUCCUAAAUCUUUCUUUAAAGUCGUCCGCUUUAUAAGCUGACACCUAUCCACAUAUUGUUAGAUAAGGUGAGUUAUUGUCACUGCUAUUUGUAAUUUAAAAAAAAAAACUAUUUAAGUCUUCUUUGAAUAAUGGGGUGUCACUCUCUUGCCAUGCGUGGGUAGGAUUUUUAAAUGAGGUGCCCCUUUUUUGUUUUAUUUUAAUUUUUGCAAAGCUACAUGCCGAAGAGGAUCGGUUAAAACUAGAAAUAAUUGUUGGAAAAAGGAAGAUCCUUGUCGCCCUACGGGGUAAUAUAUUAUUAUAUUUUUAGUGAAUAAUAUUUGCCAUUCUACGGCAUUAUAUAUUAUUGGACUUCUACUAGAAAAUUCUUGUCAUCCUAUAUGGAAAUACAUUGUUGAACUUCCACUUGAAUAUUAUUGUCGCCCUACGGGGUAAUUAUGUCGAUGGACCUUCACUGAAAAAUCCUUUCUGCCUCAAUAGCACUCAUUUAACACCAACGGGGAAUCAUUCCCACCGUGACAUGCUAACUCACCUAAACCAUGAAUAACGGAAAAGCCACUAAGCCUUUUGUAACAAAUCGCCAAAAGGCACAAAGAUGUGCAUUAAAGAGAAACCCUUAGGGGGCGUGGAUACAAACCGACCUACAAAAGACGUGAAUAUAAAUAAUGUGUAGGAUACAAAGACAAAAUUGAACUCGCCUAAAAAAUGCUUGAGAGAACUGUCCUCUAAAGGGCUUAACUUUUCAAGUUUCGUUUAAGAGGCGCCCAUGCAUAGAUUUCACAAGGUAAUGACUAAGGCCACCCUAAAAGGCAAUACAAUUUAGGAAUCUUUAAUAAAAGAUCCUUGUUGUCUUAUCAGGGAACUUGCUACUUGAAUCCUUGCCAAAGCAUAUUCAAAUUUCUCUAUGCGAUAUCGAGGAAUACACCUCAAAUUUUAAAAUAAUAUUAUAAAGAAAUUUGAAAUAAGUUUAAUCGCCAUAAAUUAUGAGUCUUUUCAUCAAUAAACAUAUUGUCAAAGUCGUGAAUAGUAUCGUUAAGGAACUUUGAGAAACGAUGUUAUAGAAACCCUCAUAUAGGGAGGGGAAACAAAUAGCGCAAAGGCAAAGGUAUAAAAGUAAGACAUACUUAAACAACUUAAAGUAUCGAUUAAGGGACUCAACCUAAAGUCUCCCUUGAGGGACUCAGCUUAAAGUCUCGAUUGAGUGAAUUAACUUAAAGUCUUGCUAGAGAGACUCAACUUAAAAUCUCGCUAGAGGAAGUCAACUUAAAGUCUCGCUUGAGGAACUUAACUUUAAGUCUCUAUAGAGGGACUCAACUUAAAGUCUCGCUUGAGGGACUCAAAGUUUAGUCUAAGGUACUUAACUUAGAAUUUCCCCCAAGAAUAAAUUACCCUUUUCUUGUAUUAAAUUACUUCAUCCUCUUCGAGCCCUCGAGCUUGAGGGAUUAUAUAUUAGUAUAAUUUUAUUGGGGUCCUUAAAGAUGAUAGUCCAUCAAAGGGGUAAUAAAUGCCAACACACUCGCGGGGGAAAUUUGUUCUACAAAGUCUUAGUCCGCCCAAAUUGAGCCAUGAAGUCGCAUGGGUAUCCAUAUUGGGGCGUCCAAUUGAGCUUCACCUAUCUGACUUACUUUUCUCACUCAUUUAUCCACAUAUGUGGGGUAUGACGUGUCUCGCUACAACAAUUCCAAAGAGGAAGUCAAUAAGGAUAAUGACCUCUUCCAUAAUCCAAGGAGUGACAAAUUCCUUCCUCCAGAGGUAUUUAGUCAAAUGAGUGUGGGUAAUUUCUCUCUGGCCCAGACCCAAGGAAACCUUAAUAAAUACCACAACCUAAGAGUUGGGGAGAAUAACCAAUAACACAAAGAAACACACUUAUAUAGUAGUUUCUCACCUCACAUGAGUUAGCUCUCAAUACCCUAACUAGCUUAAAGUCUCUAACAUCAUGUCUCCAUUAGGGAUUGUCGCGCUCAUUGUACAACAUUUUAAAUUGCAAAUAUAUUCAUGAACAUUCAAAGCAAAUAUUUCAUUUAAAAUAAUAUUAUAUUCAUGAAUAUUAUUUUAAAUUUGUAUAUAUUUUAUACAUAUUUUUUCUCUAUUAUAUAUUUGUUAAAAAAUUGAGAGAUACUUAAAAAAUAUUUCAUAUCAUAUAUUUAUUAAAAAUUGAGAAACACAUUUAAAUAUUUAAUUUUCUAAAUUAUCUAUAUUUUAAAUAAAAUGUAUAAAUAAAUUUAAAUAACAUGUUUAAGCAUUUUGAAUAUCAUUAAAAUGAAUAGUGUUAGAUUUCUCAAUUUUGUUUUUGUAAGUUUUAAUUAAUUAAUUUCUAAAAUUGUUAAUAAAUAUAUAACAGAGAGAAAAUAUAAAGUAAAAAAUAUAAUAUAGCAAAGUGAAGUUGCAAUAAAUAUUAACAUGGAAGCUUUAAUCAUAAGAGAAUCAUAGCUCAUGUAUGUGAUAGUGAUGGGGCACGAAAAAAUAUUCGAGCAAGUAAUUGCUCUAAAGCAAUGAAGUCGUCACCGAACUUUAUUUUUUAAAAGGGAAAACAUCGAUAAAAAUCUUAAAGAAUAAAAGUAUGAUCAUCGCAACCAAAUUCAGGUUCAGGGGUUGAUUAUGCAUGGGAGAAAUAUUAGCAUUCCACGACAUUUUUUGUAAACAAAAGUUACCUUUAAUUAAUUUUGGGAAUAAAAGUGUUAGUAUAAGGUGUUCAAUUUCUCUUAAUUACUAUGAGAUAUUUACGGGAAAGGAAAAGAAAAAAUGAAAAAGUAAAGUUUUUUUACUAUGAUGUUUGACGUGAUGUGAAUCUUGCUCAUAUGUAUCGCUCAGUUGAUGAAUUUAAUUGAACCGAAUAGACACAAAUUAUAGCAUAUUACUAUAUUGAACAAUAUUUAAGAAUAAUAAGAGAGAUGUAUUUUGUAAGAUUCCAGAUAUUGUCUUCGGAGAGAGUGAGUAUGAGAGAAUUACUACAUUAUUGUUGUUUAGGAUUUUCAUUGUAUGUUAAUGUUUAACGGGGCAACGCUUAAAUAACUAAAUGAUUUAGGAUAGAGACAUCUUAUUGGGCUUAACUGAAUGGUCCAACCCAUUAUGGUGAUGUUCAUGGGACCUCAAAUCCUCAAACAUUUGGGGUGAAUCACUACUACGAAAAAGACACUUAACAAUAGUUGGAAAAUAUAGUUAACCACGCAGGUCCUGACGUUAUUAUGUAGAGUGUUGUUGUAAAUGUGUUGCUUACAAUCACGGUCCUUGAACCGUUAGUAUACUGGAAAGCGUGCGCGAUAUCACAACGUUAUUUAACUCAAUCGUUGUGAUAUACCUAAAGGUCUCAGGUUCGAUUCUUAGCAUCAAUAUUUUUGAGUUUAUAUUAUUCUGGAGUUCAAUAUACAACCACAAUUAAUUUUUAUAAUCGUUGUCAAAAUAUAUGUUGUUUUAAAAAAAGAAUUCUCUACUUUUAAAAAUAUACACCAAUUUGUGAAUUAAAUAUCAAAACUUGUAUUACAUCAAUGACACGAUUUCAUUAGGAACCAAUCAACCUACAAUGUACACAAUUCUAUUACAUCAAAUUAUGCAUAAGAAGGAGUUGAAGGAAUAACAAAGAAGGGAAAAAGAGAUUUGAAAAAACAAAGAGAUGUAAUUAUUCAACAGCACGAUGUAGCUAGUCAUAAGAAGAUCUUUCCAACUUCCAAGAGAAGAAAACGUGGAGAUUUAAAGAAGUAAUAAUUAGAAGGAAACUUGACAUGCGUGUAAAUCUUUUGGCUUUUAGACUUUCAAAGAUUAGAGAAAAGGAAGAAUCAAGAACCAAUAUAAAAGUUGAAAACCUCUUUGAACCAAAAUACAAAAGGAACUUCAUCCAAAGAAAUCAAAGAAGAAGAAGAAUCAAAAUGAGUACUUCUACUGAAACUCCAUCCAAAGAAAUAAGAGAAGAGGAACAACCAAAACACAUAAUGAGUACUUCAUCCAAUGCGAGAAAACAUAAGCUGAUGUGGUUGUAGAGGUCCAAGUCGUUGAAAGAGAGCCUGCUACCGAACCUUUGAGACUCAGGAGAGCUCUCAAGAAGAGGGAUUCAAUAAGAAGAAUGGUAAAAAAGCUAGUCAUCAUCAAUUCUGAUGAUGAUGAAGCAUAUUAUACUUGGUCAAACAUUCUCUCCGCCAAAUAAUUUAGAUAUGAUUAAUAAAAAAAUUAUUUAAUGAAAUUUUUUAUUAGUUUUUACAUGGUCUAACUUUUUGUAAGUUUAUUUAAUGAAAUUUUUAUUCUACAGUUUUUUAUUUUUCAGCUUUAGGUUACAUCUAAUCUAGGAUUUUCUUAAAUGAUUAAUGAUUCUUAUAUGAAUAUUCUAUCAGGUUUCAUCCUAUGCUACUAAAUUUGAAUAAAAUCAAAACACAGUUGCAACAAAACAAAAAUAAAGGAAAUGCUUCAUACACAAAAUUUAAAACAUAAACAAUAUAGAUUCAUAAGAACAUAAACAUUAUGAAUACCUUGUUCUCUUGGCAUGUCUUGUCUCUCGGUGUUCGUGGCCAUUAACUUCCUUUAACAACACCAAAACCAAAAACAACCCAAUAAUAAAUUUGUAACUACACAAAGUUAUUGUCACAAAAUCUGCAUAAGAACAACCUAAUACACAUCACAAUGUUAUUAUGUGAAAAAAUAAACCCUAGCGAAGAACUUUCAGAAAGCAGUACUAUUACACGGCAAGAGCGAACAAGAAGUAAACAACAAACAAAUAAUGGUAAUGUAUCAUAAGUCGAAGAGGAUAAAGAUUUUACUAUCGCGGUCGUCUCGUUUUCUAGGACAUCCUUUUGUGUUAUGAACGAAAUAAACCGCGUGUUAUAUUUUUAUUAAGUGAAAAGUAUUUCACAACGGUUACAAGAAAGAAUCGUAGUGAAAGCUUAAGGUAAAAAAGCAAAUGCACGCCUUUACCUUAAAGGAAUAAAAUAUUUGAGGGUGAUGAGGUUCGAACCCGUGAAAGCUUGAUUGUAUCACCACGGUUUACAGAAGAACUGUUAUUAUAUCCUAACAAUUUUUAGUUAAAAAAGUGUUAGCGCCUUAGUUUAAAGAUGUCACCACGGUGUUUGGAAGAACCGUGAUAACUUGAGUGUUGUUGUAUGCGUGUUUUGUAGUAUUGAAUCAACAAUAUGGACUAGGGCCACAGGUUAGGAUACCUAGAGGGUGUGGAACUGAUGGCCGGAAUAACCAACCAGAUCAACAUCGUUAGUGUUUUUUUUUCGUGUGUAAACAUAUCAUAAAUUUAAUAUUAAUAUUUUUGAUUCCAUCAAUCAUUAUUAAAAAAAUCACAAGCCAAUUGAAUUGACACCACCUAUUAAAAAUUACGCACAAACGACAAUUGAGUUGACAACAUCAGGUACAAGCGUCAAUUCAAUUAACGCCACCUCUUUAAUUUUAGGUGCAUGCGCCAAUUCGCCUGACACCAAUGCUUCAGUGAUUUUUUUUUUGAAAGUGAAAUAUAUUAGGAAAUUAUUUGAAAUGUGGGUUAUUUUAGUUUUUUUUUUAAAUAGUGGAUUUUAUUGAUAAAAAAUUCAAUAAUUUCAUGUGUAAAUAAAUGCGACUCGUACCAUUUCAAGGAAUGAAGUGGUGAUUUACGUUAUAACAAACCGUCCAAAUUCAGUACCACUAUACUAUGGUAGACCCGCACACACCAGAUCACCUCUUAGUUGGUUUUUUGAGUGUUUUAUGCUUACAGCGCUAUUUUUGUUUUGCACCUCCCUUCAAAAUCCGAUAAACCACCACCUCUCUCUCUCACCGGAGAUAUUCAAACUUUUUCACCGCCUCCCUCUCCGGUCACCAACCGAAGCAAUACUUCAAUCAUCAACCAAUCCCUAACGGACCAAACGUUUGAUCUUCAACUCAUCUUUUCAACCUCCACUGCGUUCUCAACCAAGAUCUGAGGGGCAGGGGCUGUAAGUGAGGAUGAAUUUGCAACCUGGGCAGUCUAAAUCCUCUAAUGGAUAUGGCCGUCGUAAAUCUGACAGAGAAGGUGCAGCUGCGUUAGAGAAUAAGAUGCCAUCUGAAAAAUUAAAUGCCAACAGAUUUGCAAGUACAGUUGUGAUUACUGACAUUAAAGGUGGUAGUUAUGAAAGUCCUUCACAUGACCGACUAGUAUAUCUAACAACAUGCCUAAUUGGGCAGCAUGUGGAGGUCCAGGUGAAAAAUGGGUCUAUAUACUCUGGAAUAUUUCAUGCAACAAAUACAGACAAAGAUUUUGGUAUGUUCUUCUUCUAUUAGUAGUUUUGGUGAUUCUGAAAGCUUCUUAUUUCGGUUAGACCGUUUCUUUCCUUAGCUUUUAUUUUACGCAAUAGGAUAGCCUCUUCAUCUCCUCCCCUUCUUUAAUUUUCAAAAUCUUCUCCCUUUUUACAAAACCUUCUUAUGUUUGCAAACCUUUUCCAAACCUUUUUUUUUAAAAUAUUUUUUGCCCUUAGUGGCUUUUUCUUCAAAAGUUUAGACACUGUUAAUUGUCGGAACGAGUGGUUAUACCCCACAAUUUUGAAAUUGAUUGAUAUAAUGAGAUCUUUUCCGCGUGAGAGAGCAAGUGGCAUACUCGUCGAUUUUAUCCGAGUUGGAGCCCUUCUUUCAUUUGCGAAGCAAAGAACUUAUUUGUUCUCAUGCUCAAGAUCAAUAGCUGUGUAUUUCUCUCCAACGACGAUAAAGUGUUUAUUCGUUUUAAACUGUUUUCCCUUUAAAGCGGAACUACAUUAGCUCUGACUUCUCCAUUGCACCGAGGAGGUAUGUAGGCACAAGGCUUAAUGCCUUGCCGAGCUUAUUUUAAAAAUAAAACAAACCCUUUUUUUAGCACACACGACACAAAUUUUCAAAAAGGUUCCUGUGGAGUACCAUAGAUAUGAGGGGUGCUUUAAACCUUCCCCUUGUAUAAUCAACACCCGAACCUGAGUUCUCUUUCUUGUUUUAAAAACAAAACUUUGGGUUUUACGUUCUUUUCCCUUUUCCUUUGAAAAAAUAAAGCGUGGUGGCGAUUUCAAACGAAAUAUUGAGUCGAGUCAAUCCUAUGGCUUCGAUCUCAGAUUUUCCCCGCUACACUAGUGAACGGUGGGAUUAAUCCCUCUUAGAUUAGUCGGUCGCAAGGUCGGAUAUCAAGAUUUACAAAGAAAUAAAAUAAAUAAACAAACUAACAUGAUGAGAGUGUUCCUAUAUAAUGUAACUACUAUUUAAUUUGGAAAAAAUAAUAAAAUAAUAUGUCAACCAACAUGAAAGUUGUGCAUGCCUAUUAUAAUACCUAAGUACCAUGUGAUGUUUAUUUUACAUGAAAAAAGUCACAUUUCUUUGGAUAAUAAAGGUACCAUGUGAUGUUUAUUUUACAUUGAAAAAAAGUCAUUAACUUUUUCGAUAAAUUGUAAACUACAACUCAUGAGGAGUACUAUGUUCCCACCUGAUUAUUGUGAAAGGAUUUAUAAUUAAUUUUAGACGCAAAUUAAAUACCAAUAAAAUGGCAUUUUCCUUUUUAAAUGUUUAGCCUCUAGUAUUUAUGUGGAGUGAAAUUUCCGUCAAAACUAGUAACAAAUCCGUGCAUACGCACGAGUUCUGUUCGGUUACGUAAAUUUGGAUACAUCAUUUACUUUAAUUAAAAAUAUUAAAAAAAAAUUAGAUAAAUAAUUGAUUAUAUUGUAUAUAAAAAUAUUUAGAUCAAUAAUAUAUUUUUUCCCGUAUAUUAUUUUUGAAUUAAAAAUAUCUAAUCAUCAAUACCAUUUCUCGUAUAUAAAAAUAUUUAGAUCAAUAAUAGAUUUUUUUUCGUAUAAAGACUUCAUUUUUGUUUAAGUAUCAUUUACAAAAACAUUAGGAUCAAUAGUAAAUUUUGUAUAUAAAAAUAUUUAGAUCAAUAAUAGUUUUUUUUUUUCGUAUACCAUUUUUGAAUAAAAAAUAUUUAGGUCAUAAAUACAAUUUUUCGUAAAUAAUAGAUUUUUUUUCCGUAUACAAAUAUUAU